rnacentral:rRNA from 1 species
AUGGCGACCGGCGCACGGGUGAGUAACACGUAUCCAACCUGCCGAUAACUCGGAGAUAGCCUUUCGAAAGAAAGAUUAAUACCCGAUGGUAUAAUCAGACCGCAUGGUUUGAUUAUUAAAGAAUUUCGGUUAUCGAUGGGGAUGCGUUCCAUUAGGCAGUUGGUGAGGUAACGGCUCACCAAACCUUCGAUGGAUAGGGGUUCUGAGAGGAAGGUCCCCCACAUUGGAACUGAGACACGGUCCAA